rnacentral:rRNA from 1 species
UACGUAGGGUGCAAGCGUUUAAUCGGAAUUACUGGGCAUAAAGCGUGCGCAGGCGGUUAUGUAAGACAGAUGUGAAAUCCCCGGGCUCAACCUGGGAACUGCAUUUGUGACUGCAUAGCUAGAGUACGGUAGAGGGGGAUGGAAUUCCGCGUGUAGCAGUGAAAUGCGUAGAUAUGCGGAGGAACACCGAUGGCGAAGGCAAUCCCCUGGACCUGUACUGACGCUCAUGCACGAAAGCGUGGGGAGCAAACAGG